rnacentral:lncRNA from 1 species
AUUAGAUCAAUAACCUUCGUAGCAUUGAUGUUACUGCGGUUAUCAUGUAAGACAACACACAUGCAUACAAUUUGUGUAUGAUGUGAAAAAAAAACAUGCAAGAAUAAAUGUAAUAGACUUAGAACCAUUGAAUGGUCGUGAUUAAUAGGCCAUACUUACUGAUGUAAGUCUAACAUUUU